rnacentral:tRNA from 1 species
GGCCGCUUACCGGCCCGGUCUUCUACACCGGACACCGUAACUGGAGGGGAGAUGCGCGUUCGAAUCGCGCCGCGGCCGCCA